AACGUUCACAUUGGUUUGGGAGUUGUAAACUCGGUAAUGAUUCCGUAGGUGAACCUGCGGAGGGAUCAUUACCGAGUUUACAACUCCCAAACCCAAUGUGAACGUUACCAAACUGUUGCCUCGGCGGGGUCACGCCCCGGGUGCGUCGCAGCCCCGGAACCAGGCGCCCGCCGGAGGAACCAACCAAACUCUUUCUGUAGUCCCCUCGCGGACGUAUUUCUUACAGCUCUGAGCAAAAAUUCAAAAUGAAUCAAAACUUUCAACAACGGAUCUCUUGGUUCUGGCAUCGAUGAAGAACGCAGCGAAAUGCGAUAAGUAAUGUGAAUUGCAGAAUUCAGUGAAUCAUCGAAUCUUUGAACGCACAUUGCGCCCGCCAGUAUUCUGGCGGGCAUGCCUGUCCGAGCGUCAUUUCAACCCUCGAACCCCUCCGGGGGAUCGGCGUUGGGGAUCGGGACCCCUCACACGGGUGCCGGCCCCGAAAUACAGUGGCGGUCUCGCCGCAGCCUCUCCUGCGCAGUAGUUUGCACAACUCGCACCGGGAGCGCGGCGCGUCCACGUCCGUAAAACACCCAACUUUCUGAAAUGUUGACCUCGGAUCAGGUAGGAAUACCCGCUGAACUUAAGCAUAUCAAUAA
rnacentral:rRNA from 1 species